rnacentral:tRNA from 1 species
AGUCUUAUAGUCAAUUUAUGAUAUAAAAUUGCAAAUUUUAAGUAAUAUAAUUAUUUAUAUUAAGGCUU